UUUGGGUCUGCUAAUUAAUUUUUGUAGUUUGUAGUCUAGCAGACCGAC
ensembl:ncRNA Y51H7D.1 ncRNA